rnacentral:rRNA from 1 species
GAUGAACGCUGGCGGCGUGCCUAAUACAUGCAAGUCGAGCGAACAGACGAGGAGCUUGCUCCUCUGACGUUAGCGGCGGACGUGUGAGUAACACGUGGAUAACCUACCUAUAAGACUGGGAUAACUUCGGGAAACCGGAGCUAAUACCGGAUAAUAUAUUGAACCGCAUGGUUCAAUAGUGAAAGACGGUUUUGCUGUCACUUAUAGAUGGAUCCGCGCCGCAUUAGCUAGUUGGUAAGGUAACGGCUUACCAAGGCAACGAUGCGUAGCCGACCUGAGAGGGUGAUCGGCCACCCUGGAACUGAGACACGGUCCAGACUCCUACGGGAGGCAGCAGUAGGGAAUCUUCCGCAAUGGGCGAAAGCCUGACGGAGCAACGCCGCGUGAGUGAUGAAGGUCUUCGGAUCGUAAAACUCUGUUAUUAGGGAAGAACAAAUGUGUAAGUAACUAUGCACGUCUUGACGGUACCUAAUCAGAAAGCCACGGCUAACUACGUG